UACGGAGGGUCCAAGCGUUAUCCGGAAUCAUUGGGGUUAAAGGGUCCGUAGGCGGUUUUGUAAGUCAGUGGUGAAAGCCCAUCGCUCAACGGUGGAACGGCCAUUGAUACUGCAAGACUUGAAUUAUUAGGAAGUAACUAGAAUAUGUAGUGUAGCGGUGAAAUGCUUAGAGAUUACAUGGAAUACCAAUUGCGAAGGCAGGUUACUACUAAUGGAUUGACGCUGAUGGACGAAAGCGUGGGGAGCGAACAGG
rnacentral:rRNA from 1 species